rnacentral:rRNA from 1 species
AUUGAACGCUGGCGGCAGGCCUAACACAUGCAAGUCGAGCGGAUGAAGGGAGCUUGCUCCUGGAUUCAGCGGCGGACGGGUGAGUAAUGCCUAGGAAUCUGCCUGGUAGUGGGGGAUAACGUCCGGAAACGGGCGCUAAUACCGCAUACGUCCUGAGGGAGAAAGUGGGGGAUCUUCGGACCUCACGCUAUCAGAUGAGCCUAGGUCGGAUUAGCUAGUUGGUGGGGUAAUGGCCUACCAAGGCGACGAUCCGUAACUGGUCUGAGAGGAUGAUCAGUCACACUGGAACUGAGACACGGUCCAGACUCCUACGAGAGGCAGCAGUGGGGAAUAUUGGACAAUGGGCGAAAGCCUGAUCCAGCCAUGCCGCGUGUGUGAAGAAGGUCUUCGGAUUGUAAAGCACUUUAAGUUGGGAGGAAGGGCAGUAAGUUAAUACCUUGCUGUUUUGACGUUACCAACAGAAUAAGCACCGGCUAACUUCGUG